GGGGAGGAUGGGAUUAACACAUACACACUCUGUAUGUAAAACAGGAAACUAACAAGGGGCUACUGUAGAGCACAGGGAGAUCUACUCAGUCCCCUGAGAUAACCUAUACGGGGAAAAAAAUCUGAAAAAGAAAGGAUAUAUGUACACAUAAGACUUGUUCCCUUAGCUGUACCCCUGAAACGAACACAAUUGUUAUAAAUCACUUAGACUUCAGUAAAAUUUAAAAGCAAAAACAAACCUAAGUUACCAACUCUGGUUGCACAUGAGAAUCACCUGCAAAACACUCUUUUUUAAAAAAAUGCCAGAUUCCCGUCGUGGCUCAGUGGUUAACGAAUCCGACUGGGAACCAUGAGGUUGUGGGUUCGAUCCCUGGCCUUGCUCAGUGGGUUGAGGAUCUGGUGUUGCUGUGAGCUGUGGUGUAGUUUGCAGAUGUGGCUCGGAUCCCACGUUGCUGUGGCUCUGGCAUUAGACCCCUAGGCUGGGAACCUCCAUAUGCCGCGAGUGUGGCCAUAAAAGGACAAAAGACAAAAAAACAAAAAACAAAAAAACAAAAAACAAUUCCUGGAGGGAGGGAUAAAUUAGAAGUUUGGGAUUAUCGUAUACUCAUUACGCUACAUAAAAUAGACAAGUAACUAGGACCUACUGUAUACUGUACAGCAUAGGCAACGAUAUUCAUCAUUUUGCAAUAACCUAUAAGAGAAAAGAAUCUGAAAAGCUUUACAUAUGUAUAUAUAUAAAGUUAGUUAUGUAUAUAUGUGUAUAUUCAGCUGUAUACAUAUAACUGAAUCACUGUUGCAUACCUGAAACGAACAAGAUAUUGUCAAUCAACUAUACGUCAAUAAAAGUACUUAAAUAAGUCAAUAAAUGGAUAGUAAAUUCUUCAGGCUUUGAGGCUCCUACAGGCUCCAUCACAAGUCCUUAGCUGCCCUUAUGGGGCAAAAGCCAUCACGGUCCACCUGUAAAAGAAUGGACAUGGCUUGUGUUCCAAUAAAAUUUCAUUUAGAGACACUGGAAUCUGAAUUUCAUAUCCCUUGCCCAUGUCUUGACAUACUUGCCUCAUUUUUAUUUUUUCAACCCUUGAAUUUCAAGAUAAAAACCACGCGUCACUCGGGCACUGCACAAAACCAGGGGGUGCUCUGUUCCCAUGGGGUGUCGUUUGUUUACCCUGGUAUCGUUAAUAAAAUCAUGUUUUCAAAGAGAGUUUUACCUGGGAAAAUGCUAGCAACAGAAUCUUGAGUGAAAAAAAAAAAGGCAGAAUCUAAAACCAUUUUUCCAAUAUGCCCUCAUUUUGUAAAAAUAAAGGCAUAUCCAAAGAACUUGAAAAAAAGUACCCCAGAACAUUAAAAUGCUUUUCUCGUAGGGCAGCGUUGCAAUGAUUUUUUAUUCCCUUUGUAUGCUUUUCUGUAUUUGCUAAAUGCUUUCCAACGUGUGAGUAUUGUUCUUAUAAUAAGUAACAUUACUUUGAAAAAUGCUGUUUUGAAAAAUUAUUCUCAAGCGGGUUCUCUCUCCUGGCAUUUUAAGUAUUCAUUUUCCAUAUUUUGAAAUUUAUUUCCUUUCUCCGUCAUUUGUUUUCUUCUUUGGAGGAAGUUUGCCAUCUAUUUUAAGAACAUCCUUCAUUCGUUUUCUUACUCAUUCUUUUCCUGUUUCCCCCUCUCUCUCCCAGUGAUCUUUCUCAUGUCUGACAUUUUUCAAAGUUCUAUUCUGAGCCCAAAGGGGAAACAUAUGAAACAUAUUCAUUAUAGGGGAACUAAGCUUUCAAACACCACUGUUCUAAUUUUAACAUUUUAAGGAUCAAGAGAGGCCUCAGUGUUGUGACCGCGACGUGUUCAACAGAAAAUUUAACCAUAUCAAAAAUGAUUAAAAAUAGAUUUCUGCUUUGUGUGUACUGACCCACUGAGCCGAGGCCCUUCGUCCUUGGGGGAGGACGAAGGGCUUUACGGAGCUUCCCUUCUCUUGCUGUGUGACCGUCUACCCCAUCUGCGUCUCAAUCCUGCAUUAUUAUACUCAAAGCCCUUCUUGAGUAUUUUUCACAUCCCGUCAGAAUGGAGACGCCAGGCGUGGAACACCCCGAAGUUACCGGUCCACUGGCCCAGCUCCUGAUUUCUGUGGCAGACAUCUACUGAGCACCUGUUUUGCAACGGACUAUGUUCCAAGGACAAAAAUGCCCGGAUGGAGAAGAUAAGCAAGCCAGCUGCCCUAUCCGGGCACAGCCUCUAGUGCAGCCGCCAGUGACCUGUAACUGGGGGUAGCUCGGGUGCAAUCGUACUGUCCCCGGUGAGAGUUGAGAUGCGGCCGUAGAUAAAGGAAACAGGACGCCUGUUCAUAAUUGUGCCAGAAAACAGCGUCAGGGGGCUUACACACUAGGAAGGAUGCUGGGAGCCCAUUCUUGGCGGGAGCCAGCUAAUGGCAGCAUGCUUUGUACCUUGCUUCUCAGGACAACCCUGCCCUGCAGGGCCCCACAGCCUGGCUCAGUCCCUUGACUUUUAUGCCAUGGUAGCAGAGAGGGUGUGAAGGAGGAAGGUAGAGACAGGGCCCUGCAGGAAUAAUGCACGGAUUCAUCCCGUACCUUGUGCUGGGCCUUCCUGUGCACUGUACCAGAACCGUCUCACGGAACUGAUAGGACAACCACACGGGCUCAGUACUGGCUUCACACCAUCUGUCUGAAUCACAGUUCAGGGAGAGACUGAUUUAUUAUAGGGACCGGCUCAGGCUGUCCCAUCAGCCAAGAACUUCUGUGAUCCGCUCUCUGCAAGGUGCUACGGUCUCACUGUCUCCCCGCCCAGUUCAGAUGUUGACACCCUAACCCCCUGCAAUGCGAUGGGCUCAGGAGUCAGGGCCUGGGGGGAAGUGCUGAGCUCAUGAGGGUGGAGCCCCCCAAGAAUGGGAUGAGAGUCCUGAUAAAAAGACCCCAGAGAGACCCCGUGCCCCUUCCACCAUGAGAGAAGGUGAAGGUGAGAAGACGAAGUAAAGAAGAUGAACCAGGAAGAGGCCCCUCACCCGAACUCAACCCUGCUGCCAUGACCUUGACCUUGAACUUCCCAGAAUGGUGAGAGCUGAAUAUCCGGUGUUCAUAAGCUCUCCAGUCUGUGUUCAUUUGUCACAGCCGCUUGUAUCAACUAAGACACCAGGAAGGCCACCACCGUCAUUCAGUCCAGGUCCAAAAGACGGAGAACGAGAGGUGAUGGUUCCUGGGGGUAGGAGGUGAUGGAUGUUGCAGCUCAAGCAGACAGAGAGCGCACUCUUCCUCUGCCCUUUUGUUCUCUUCGUGUCCUUAGUGGAUGGGUUGAGGCCUGCCCACGUUGCACUGGGGGAGGGGGGGUCUGCUUUACUCAGGCUACCAGCUCAGCUACUCAUCUCUCCCAAACACCCUCACAUUCCCACCCCAAAUUCACGUUUUACCAGCUGCCUGGAAUCCCUUCGCCCAG
rnacentral:lncRNA from 1 species